GUCGCGAAAGGAGGCCGUUGGGUGCAUCAUACAUCAGAAAAGUAACGCAGCAACAUCAUCGAGUACGUGAGGAGGGCCACUCACCACUUGAAGCCACCGUUGCGCAAACACGUGCAGAAACCGGCUCGCAUACACGAGAGCAGAGGCGCGCGCGGAGCAGCGAGAGCGCGACUGCCGACGUUGGACAGCACACGCGCGGUCCUCUUCCCGCCCCCUUCUCCCUGUCACUCGCUCUCCUUCAAACCCCUCCACUUAUACCCAGUGCUCGCACCCACCGUCCUUGUUGCUUUCCUUUACCCGAGUGUUUCCGUUGGCUCGCACAGCACUCACGGACUUUCUCUGAUUGUGGAGGAGCUGGCGUGCUUUUACACGACGCUCACACACAUACACAGACAUCUCUUCCCGUCGGUGCUUGAUCACACGCGCACGAGAGGGACAGCAACAGCAGCAGCAACGGAACGAGAGAGAGGGCGAUACUGCGGCAUCAGCACGCACAUACACACACACUCACUCUCUUGAUACAUCUCCAUCUCGUUCCCAAUCUCUCGUUGCCUGUUUGCCCUAUCACCACCUACACACGCUCGCGCGCGUUUUUCUUCUGUUUUGUUGUCGUUGUGCUGCCGCUCUCGGUGGCGGAAGCUCCUUGAUUGAUUUCGGCUGCCUUUACUCUUGUACUUGUCCACGUGGGUGCCUGCGUUUCACUUUGACCUUCGCCCGCCUCCCGCCCCCUUUCUCUGUCUGUGUCUGUGUCUGUGCCCCCCCCCCCACCCCACCCCUUCCCCCCUCUUACUCACUUUUCUGUGUCUGUGCGACUCCCUCCCCUCCUCCUCUUCCGUUUGAUCCCUGCCGGUCAUCCCCGCUGACAGUGGGAGGGGUUUUGUUGCUCGUAUUUGCUGGCGUUGCAGAAGCACCGCCACCACCCCUCCCCCGCCGUUUUUCGAGUCUCUGUGCGCGUUUUUCGAAGUGGCGCAAGAGGCACGGGUACCACUUCGCUUAGGCCCCUCCCUCUCCCUUCUUUGUGUGUUUCUUUCUUUUCCAUCCUCUCAUCGGUUCUGCUGCCGUUGUGGUUGCUGUUGUCGUCGUGACGUGUGCUCGUGCUGCCCUCUUCCGGUUGUCCGCCUCCUUCUCGACUUUUCUUGUCUUUUUUUUCGUUUCUGCUCUCGCUCUUCUCUGCGUCUCCUUGGACAGAUCGACUGUAGGCGACAUACACACACACACACGUGCACAGAUCUCUUUCCUUCCCUCCCUCCCUCCUUCCUUUCUGCUCCCAUCACAGUCACCCGACUCGCUCACGCGUUUCUCCCUUGUUGUUUCGUCUUUUUUCACGCCCCGCCGUCUCCCUCGUCCGCCGUACGCCGCGCCUGGCUCUCUCUCGAAGGAGCUACCCCCGUCAAGAGGCGAUCUCUCCAUCUUCUCAAGAAUUGUUUGCUCCUCCUCGUUUUCCUCCCCGUACGCACACAUCCUCUUUCGUUGUUGUUUUGCGGUUUUAUUUCUCGUUAGGUGGUGCUGCCGGCAUUAUUGGCUUGUUUCGCUCCUGCUGGUCGUCAGCAGCUUCGCAGCCACCCGUCUUCUUGUUCAUCGGCUCCUCUUGCUUCCUGUGCGCGUGUGUGCGUGCGUCUCCCUCCCUCCCUAUCUGCGCCCCGCGCGCACAGACCCACCCUUCCAUCUGUACGUCCAUAUAUAUAUAUAUAUGUGUGUGUAUAUGUAUAUGUAUAUACGCUCCUUCCAUUGAUCCCCCUCUUCCCGUUUUGUUUGCGAAGGCUACGGACGCGCUUCCUUGCUUUUGUGUGUGUGUCUCUCUCCAUCCCUCCCCUGGUCCCCUUCAGCGUGCGGGCGAGUCGCGCGUUGUGCGCGGGUACUCGACAGGAAGUGCUGCUGCUGCUGGUGUCUGUGUUUGGGCGUUUGUGUGCGACUUUGUACGGUGCUGCGGAUAGAAAGGGUCUGCGCUGUUCCCUUUUCUGAGCCUUCGUUUGUUGUCGUAGUGGUUCUGCUGCUGCUGCUGCGGCGGCGGCGGCUACUUUCGCUUCGCUCCGCCGCUCUCUCUCUCCGCAGCACACCGGCAGAGUCGCGGUCGCACGCACACAACUUCAGCGCUACUUUGCUUGUCGGCUCCUUUUCUUUUUUUUUCCGUUGGUCUUCGCCGGAGGCGGCGCGUCUCGUUCUCUGCUUGUGGUCCCCGCGCGGGGGACUUCUGUAACUGUGUAACGAUCGAAUAUGCUUCGGAAAGGUCGAAAAAGCAACAUCAACAACGCCGUCGGCGGCGGCGGCGGUGCUCCGCUGCGAAGCUCCACGCGGGACGUGUGGAGCCACCAGCCUCCGACGGCGUUGUCUCCUGCAGCGAACCGCGCCAACCUGCUCUAUCAAUGCUACGACGCGUCUGUGUAUGCACCGAGUAACGCGACGUUUCUGUCACCUGCGAACGCCAGCGGUGGCGGCAAACAGCGCCCCAGUGUCACGGCUGGCUCUUACGCUGCUGGUGCAGCAAGUGGAAAGGCAAGCCGCACUAGACGAGGAGGCAGCAUCGCCGGCUUCAAUGGAACUAAGCGCCAGAGUAACGCGCAAGCGACAGCGAUGGCCACAGCUAGCAAGCAGCAGCAAAAGCUUGAUAGCAGCGAGUCGCGUGCAACACCACCGCUGAUCCCAGCACCGCCGCCGGUUGCCAGGGGUGGUGAUAGCUACGUCAAUGAGAAUACUCGCCUUGCCGUUUCGGACCCACUCCCCUGCUCUUCACGACAACCGCAGAGAGACGGAAGCCGUGGCGGCGAUGCCAAUGACUACACUUCGGUCCGUCGUGAAGUCAUGGGUGCUGCGAGGGGCCGCGAUGAGGUGCGCUACACCCUUGACCUCAGCGGUCGAAGAUGCAGCGACAGCGCACCGUACAGCGGAGCUUGCAUGGGUCGCCCACGUGCCUCGUCGCUGCCACGCACACACGAAGACGUGAAAGAGAUCCUGCCGCGGCUGCGUCCGCUUCGAGAAGUCCGACACGGCGGCGACCUGAACAGGCUGCGCAGUCCGCCGCCACGGCACUCGGCCGACCACCACGGCGCAGCCGCUGGCUACGCGCUGGACAGCUUGCGCACCAUGGCGCCAAACGGCACCAUUUUUGCCGACGACAGAGAAAGGGAGAAGCAACGCGAGGUACUGAGCGCACCGCCGGCGUCGUCGACAGUGAUUCCGUCCAGCUGCUCACCGCGACCGGUGGCAGACCAGGUGCGUCUGCUAGGCCGUCACAACAACCGAGGCAGCGUGCACCGAAGCAACGCUAUGGCGACCCGGGUGGCCGGCAGCCCCGAUACUCGUAUGCUGCGCCCAUCGCCGCUCAGCAGCGGCAGCGACGAUGACGGGUUUGCCCCUGCCGGCGGGCCAUCUGCGCCGGAGACCGCCGCUGCCGCUGCCGCUGGCGCCGGCAACGGCCGUACCGCUCCGAUCGAGACCCGGCGUAAUGUGAGGGGCGGGGCGGCCGCGGCAGUCGCAGCAGCGAUCGCGCAGCGCGGCAUCACUGGCCUUGGCGGGACGGUCAGUAAGCCUGUGUAUGACAAGAGCGGGGCCAAUGCGAAGAAAUCGCCGUACGGCGCUGGGGCCGAGCAGCCGGAGAACAUCGGUCAUGAGGCUAGAAGUGAGGCGGUAGACGCCGACGAGCUUUUCGGUAGCACGCAGAUGCUCUGCUCGUUGCGGUCGGGUGCAGAAAGAAGCGACGGCAACACUGCUGGCGCACGACCGCCCCCGCCGGCGGUGCCAAUGGCCGCGCCGUCGUCGCGCAUGCGCAACCGCGACCACAGUGGAGCGAGGUGCGCUGAGAACGAACUUCCUGUCUACAAGUUUAACGUGGUGCUCAGCAGUGGCAAGACGGCGACAGUCCCUAUAUCGCUUAUCGCCGGCAGCGGCUGUGUGCAAGGGAUGCGACCAACCAUGGAGGACGCGCACUUCGCCGAGCUCAACGCAACCCACGUUCGUGGCCAGCCCGUCUCUCUUCUGGCGGUGCUGGACGGCCACUGCGGACGGCGGGUGGCCGACCUCGGGGCCAAGUGGCUGCCGCACUACGUAUUGCAUCACGCCGCCCUUGGCGAAAACAACGCUCUGGCUCUUGUGGAGUCUAUCCUGCAGACCGACCGCGAGAUUUUCCACACGCUGCAGGCCAAGAGCCACAGACACCACCAGCAGAGGGCGGGCAACGGCAGCGGACGACGACGGCGCGACGUGGAUGAAGAAGUGCUCGACGAAAUGACGAGCGGGACGAACGGCGGGUCGACACUGAUUGCGGCCGCCGUGUGCGGCCGGAUGCUGUACGUGGCGUGCCUCGGCGACGCCCGGGCGGUGCUCUAUGACGGGCACACCACCAUUGCGAUGAGCGAAGAUCACAAGCCCGGCAACACGGACGAGUCCCGCCGCAUCGCUAAAUGCGGCGGCUUCGUUCAGUUUGGCCGCGUGUGCGGCAUUCUCGCGGUGAGCCGCGCCCUUGGGGACUUCGAGUUCAAGUUCCAGCCGUCGCCGUCGCCCGAUGCGGCGGGGGAAGAGAAGCUGUCGACCAACUUCCCGUUUGGCGCCCUACGCGACAACGACUCGAGCGGGUCAGCGGCGCCGUCACCCUCGCACAAUCGCCGCUUCAUCUCGAAUCGGGACUUGAUGGUGAGCAACAUCGCUGAUGUCCGACAGCUGCACCUUACCGACGCCUCCGCCUUCUUACUGCUCGCCUGUGAUGGAUUGUGGGACGUGCUGAGCAACGAAGAGGCCACCGAGUUUGUGCGCGACUUCCUGUGCUACACGCCGGAUGUGUGCGACCCGCACAUUUUCUCCGGUGCGAAGUCGCGCCCGUCCCCUGACGUUGUGCAGCGCGUGCUCAACAACUGCUGCCAGAAGCUCGCCGAGUUCGCUGUCGAUCGCGGCAGCAUGGAUAACGUCUCUGUGAUGGUGCUCUUCUUCCACGAUGUCGUUGACACUGUCGCGCGCUUCAGCGGGCGGGUGCCGUCCUCGGCGAAUGUAGGCGGAGCCACUAGCAACACUGCCAGUCAGCCGAACUCGUUGCACGGCUCGGGCAGGUCGCAUCCGCGCAAAUCGGUGCAGUCGGUCUUCGAGCUGACGAGCAAACAGCUGAAAGUACGCAACGGCCGCAUCGUCGCGCAGCGGUAGCGGCAGCCGCGCCCUAUGAGUGUCGCGCUCUGCCCCGUCCACACGCGCUCGUCGAAGCGCUGUUUUGCACGCGCUAGUUCUCCUGCGUCAUGUUCCGAUCAACGCUCACGGACGAUUCGCCGCUGCCUUACUCUCCCUCGCGUGGUUUUUCUCUCUGUGACACACGCGCUGCCGGUAAACGACUGCCUCGUAUGACGCACAUUUAAAAACGGCAGGCGAGCUUUUUCUUUUUGCGCCAUCGCCGACGUCGAGCAUCCAGAGGAUCCUUACUCGAGCAGGGCCCACACGGCGGGAUGUAGGAGGGAGGGGGCGUCGUCGUGGCUGAGUGGAGAGGGAGACGUGGCGGCUCCGUGCGUGUGGGUGAGCCAUGCACGUCGAAGACACGCUCUUUGCUGACAGCCGGUGUUCUUUCUCGCGCUGCCCUUGCUGCCCUGCUCUGCCUUCGGUCCGCCUCUAUGUAUACAUGGGUCGGCCUACUUUUGUGAGCAGAGAUGCGCAUGUCAAGGUAGGCGGUCGCGUGCCCAUGGAUAGAGCGCACGGGCGGCGGAGGGCGGAGGCGUUGGCAGUGCGUCAAGUCUUCCAUACAACGGACUGAAGCACUACAUAGGCACACCACACUCAUCCGCUAAAACGCAGCGGCAAGGCUGGGGGUGCCUGGCCGUCUUCGUCUUCCUCCCAGCUCGGCGGCUCCCCACCCACCCAUCGGCCCCCUGACGUCUCCGAGUCACAGAUGGAGUUUCGUUCUCCCUCUCCUUCUUCUCGCUUUCUCGGCGUGCAAGUGAAUGCGCGCUUGUGCGCAAGCGCGUCGACAAGGGCGUGCCAGCGCUGGCCUACAUCCACUCGCGACACAUGCAGAAAACAUUCAUGAGGUAGAAGAGCGGGAGAGGGAGCCGGCGGCGGCGGCGGAUGGGACGAGGCACAAUGAAUGUCCUUGUUUUUUGUUUUGUUUCAACGGUCUUUGCCCCUCUCUUUUCCUCUCCCUCUGCCUUGCCACGGCUUGCGUUCUUUGCUGCGUCUUGUCUUUUCACGCGUCUUUUUGGUAUUGUGCUCGUGCCCACCGCACGUCCCCUUCCUUCCCUUUAUUUCUGUGCCAUGUUCUUUAUUCGCUGUCCGGCGUUGCUUCUUCAUUUUGCUUCCGCCCAUGUACCUUGCCCUUCUCUCGCGCUCUCGGUUUGCAUGAGUAGUGCCCUGCUGCUCCUCCUCUCCUUGCACACACACACACACACACAGCGCCACCACUACCACCUCCACCACCAACACCACUCACGCUCCUGGUUCCUUCCACCCACCCGCCCACCCACGGCCAUCUUCAACUCAACGCGUGGCCACCCUUCUUCUCCCUAAUGACUCUUCUCUCCUUUUUCCGCUUGUGUGUGUGUGUGUUGCCGCCAUUUACUUUUACGUGCGCGUGUGUGUGCCCCCCUCCACCCCCUUUCCCCUCCAUUCCUUUGCUUUCACGGUGUGGUGUUUCGUUUCUUUCUAGUUUUUGUUUUUUGCGGGUCUGUCAACGUUUGUGUGUGUGGGCGUAUGCGUGUGCAGAGGGGGGGGAGGUGUCUGCCCAUAUGUAUCUAUAGAAGCGUAGAGCUGAGCGUGUUUUCACUUCCUUUUUUUCGUUUUGGUUGUGUGUGUGUGUGUGUGUGUGUUCGUGUAGGUGUGUGUAGCUUCUUGCUUCUUUUUUCAUCACUUAUUGCCCGCCUCCCUCCACCUCCCCGGCGUGGCGGACCCGUUACGCGAGGGCUUCCUCAUUUUGCGCCUGUCCGCGGCGGUGGCGGCGAAGGAGGUGAGGAGGAGGUGUGUGGGGGCUCACUCACUCACACACAAACAAGGUUGUGCGCCAUCGCGAAAACCAAAAAAAAAGCGAAACAGAAAACACAAAGUCGAAGAUGCACCGCACGCGCCAGUGUCGUCGACAAUCACAUCAGCCACACAAAAACAAACAAAGGAGAGGUGCCCCAUGCAGGAACAGCGGACGCCGUGCAGGUGAGCGACACGCAAACUGGCACCCACGUGCGCUGCCUGAUCCUGCACCCUUGCAGAGGACGUCCGAUAGAGCGGUAGCGGCACAUUCGGAGCGAAGGAGGACUUCGGUGGGUCACAGAUACACACACACGUCGCGGAUGCGCCAGCCACGGCUAGUCCUUGCCGACCACCCCAGCCGCCCUCAUCCCCUCACGCUCCCGGAGGAGAAGAGGAUGGGUGCUGCGGUGGCCAACGCCGCAUGCCGGCUUUGCUCCUUUUUACUGAUGGCUGUUUCGCUUUCGUGCAUCUUCGGCUCUCCCCAACGAUGCCGGCAGCCUCACCGUGGCAUCUGAGGGCCCAGUAACCCCCACUCGUUCUGGAGAAGCCGAGCACCCGCCAGCCGGCACCUCGGGUGCCGGCGCGGGCUCUUGGUGUCAGCGGGCAAGUCUGGGGUAGGGCUGUGCCGAGGAGACUUGCGGUGAUGAUGGCGUUUGUUUGAGCUCGCGAAGACUCCUGUGCAUCCCUCUAUAUGUAUGUACACGCAUCCACCUCUUGUCUUUCUGCUUUUGCCUCGUUGUCGUGAUGUUGAGCGUGAUUCCAUGCCGAACCUGCGCGGUGUGCCGUGGCAUCGCAAUGGGGCGAAGGAUGACCACCCGACGUCCACAGCGACGACGGAGCCGCGUUGACGUCACCGCGGCGCCGAGUGGCCACGGCGCGGUCAAGCACACUGCUCACUCUGAGGAGGGAUAUGGUCCGAUAGCGCCCGUGGUGACAGGCGCCCGACUAUACUCCUUCCAUAAAGCGAGCUUCAAGCUGCACCGUGCCCUGAUUGUGACAUCGAUAUGCAAAGGCUGUGCCCGCCACAGCGGCAGUGGAGCGAGGACGCGGCUCGCUUGGAUGAAUGCGUGCUACCUACCCAGAUGUGUGCAGCGCUGAUUGUGCAGCACGUAUGCGAAGACGGAGCAAGGGGAGACAGGAAGGGCCCACAAGAUGCACGGCCCGAUUCCAUUGCAGACGCCGCGUCCUAGAGGGCGAGGAUGGAGCCGUGGUGCUGCGGAGGUGAGGUGCGCUGUGGUGGUGCUUGCGUCUAUUCGCUGGCCUGUUCGCGGUGGCAGAAUGGGCACGUUUUUGGAGCGAAACAAACCGCAACG
rnacentral:misc_RNA from 1 species